GUCACCUUCAUCAUCCAGCAUCGGUUUUCAGCGCGGGGCUCUCUGGACUCCUCUCAGCAAUACGAACAUUUUUUCCCUGCAUGCCGGUGGGUUGCUCUGCUGUUUGCUCAGACUCCCAGGAAGCGCUGCCUUCCUGGAGGAUCAGCGCGGCACCCGCACAGUAAUCCUUGACGUUACAGCUGGAUGGUCCGGCCAAAACAAGGAGGCGUCCGAUGAACUUUUGCUGUGUCCCUCCCUGGCCACGCCUCUGGUCCUGGGCGAGGAGGCCGACGAGGCGGCGCGGGCAUGGCUGGAGCCGCCGCUGCUUAUGCCCCAUCACAUCCCCGCGUCUUGCAGGGGCCUGUAGGCUGUGCACCCCCACCCCCCUGCGGUCCACUUCUAACAGGCGUGGCGACACAGGAGGCAGGACCUGACUCCCACGACCAAGAUGAGGGAGGUCAUAGCCAGGGGUGGGCGGUGCUCCUGCAUCAGGGGUCACGGGGGGGAGAUAGUUCCGCACCCGCGGCCCCUUCACGCAGGGCUUCCUCGUGUCCCGGGGAGUCCCGCCACACCGUGGUGACCGAUUGGUCCCUCUGACUGUUCAGCACUUACGGGUAGAGUGCCCCAGUCCAGGGGACCUGCGAAACGGUGCCCCUCCCGGUGCAGGGGCACACUUUCUCUCCCCCCUGGUGCUGGGGUAAGAGGCGCCCUCCCCGGGACAUGCAAGAACCCAUGCCUGCAAGAGGUUGGCGUCUGUUAACCCACAAAAAACGAUCCUCCCGGAAACAGAAGACGCCAAGCCGUGCACACGCCUGGUGGCCUCCUUCCCCUAAUGCCAUGCACCGUGUUUAUGUGCAGGCAGCGUGUGGCGAGAGGGACUCAGCACGACGCCUCACCGCUUCUCAGAAAAGUUGUUCGGCGACAUGAACAAAGUUGCUUCAGUGAAUGCCAUUAAUUUUUUUUCAAACAAACCCGUAACCGUGAUCUGAUUGUUUAAUUUCGCUAUUAAACCACGGUGGGCUUUUAUUAGUGUUAAUUCGCUUCUCGCACAAGGGGACGAAUGUGUUCUGCUGAGUGAGUAAGUGAUUUUUAAGGUUUAGCCAGGCUUCAUCUACGUUGCCGUCAUCUGAUAGUUGUAUUUCUGUUAGUUUUUGUCGGAUUUCUACGAAGUUAGCUCUUUUGAAAUUGGGCACCUUUACUUUAUUUUCAGUCACUGAUGAUUGAGCUCUAAUGUCGACGCGCACUAAUUUAUGAUCGCAAGAACCGAGGUGUUCUCCUACCGUGACACUACUGACUAGGUUAUCUUGGGUCGUUAUAACAAGGUCGAGUAUAUUAUUUUGUCAAGUUGGCUCAGAAACCAUUUGGCUUAGAUAAUUUUCUUCUAGAAAUUCGAUCAUUCUAUGUGACUCGCCUUCUGUACCUGACAGUGUCGCCCAGUCGAUAUGGGGGAGGUCAAAGUCUCCUAAUAUCAGUGAGUCGUUGUUAUUAAGUGACUGCCUUAAGACGCUGUACAUUUCAAGGUUUCAAGGAUGAAAAUUAUGAUGUAAUCUAUCUUGAUUUUAGUAAAGCGUUUGACAAAGUUCCUCACCAACGACUGUUGCUUAAAUUACAGGCUCACGGAGUAGAGGGUAAAGUUUUGAACUGGGUCAAGGCGUGGCUUAGCAAUAGGAAGCAAAGAGUGCAAAUCAAUGGUAAAAGAUCUGACUGGGGAUGUGUUACGAGUGGGGUCCCACAAGGUUCGGUAUUAGGUCCACUUUUGUUUAUUAUUUAUAUCAAUGACUUAGAUACAGGAAUUAGUAGUGAUGUUAGUAAAUUUGCAGAUGAUACCAAGAUCGGUAGAGUAAUUGAGUCGGAUCAGGACGCUAGUAUUCUCCAAGGUGAACUCAACAGAUUAUAUGACUGGGCGGAUAAAUGGCAGAUGGAGUUCAAUGUAGGGAAGUGCAGUAUUCUGAGUGUAGGUAGGAACAACCCCUCACAUAACUAUUGCUUAAAUGACACGCUCAUAAUUAGGUCUGGGUGCGAGAGGGAUAUAGGGGUCUUAGUGAGCUCUGAUCUCCGUCCAAGGGCACAAUGCAUUCAAGCUAGAAAUCGAGCUAAUAGGGUACUGGGAUUUAUUUCAAGGAGCGUAAGCAACAGAAGCCCCGAAGUCUUCCUCAAACUAUAUUUAGCAUUAGUUAGACCUCAUCUUGACUAUGCGGUUCAGUUCUGGUCACCUUACUAUAGAAUGGAUAUCAAAAUGUUAGAAUCGGUGCAGAGGAGGAUGACUAAGAUGAUUCAGGGGUUGAGAAACUUGCCAUACGAGGGAAGACUUAAACAGUUAAACUUGCAUUCUCUAGAAAGGCGAAGGGUGCGUGGAGACAUGAUCGAGGUUUAUAAAUGGAUGAAGGGCUUUAAUAAGGGAGACAUUCAUAAGGUUUUGUUGGUAAGAGAACCGGGUAGGACACGAAGUAACGGGUUUAAACUGGAUAAAUUCAGAUUCAACAGGGACAUAGGCAAAAAUUGGUUUACUAACAGGGUGGUGGAUGAGUGGAAUAGGCUUAGCAGUCAUGUGGUGAGUGCCAAUACAAUUGUCACAUUCAAAAAUAGACUAGAUAAAUUCAUGGACAGCGAUAUUAGGUGGGGUUAGAUACACGGGAGCUUAGGGUCAAAGGAGCUGCCUCGUACAGGCCUACCGGCCUCUUGUAGACUCCUGCGUUCUUAUGUUCUUAUGUUCUUAUGUCAUCGAGUGAUUGACCGGGAGGUCUGUAGGUGACAGAUAUAUUUAAAUUGACUUUUGCAAUGUUUACUCGCACGCACAAAUGUUCAACGUUACUGUUUCCCGGUGUUUUGUCAGUGGGUUGCAAAUAGCUUUUGACAUAAAGGGCGACGCCACCGCCUCUACGGUUUACACGAUCUUUGUUGAAGAGUCUGUAGCCAUCUAUGUUGUAUUCGGAUCUUAAAUCAAUAUUUGUGGUGUCGAUAAAUGUUUCGGUUAUAGCAAUUAUGUCAAAAUUUUCUGUUAAAGCAAGACAUCUCAGUUCAUCAAAUUUGUUUCUUAGGCUACGCGCAUUGAAACUAAGGAUUUUUAAGUUAUCUAGAGGCUUGGUAAUAGAGGUGGUGGUACUUGCGGGAUCACGGUUACGGGAGAGAGAGAGAGAGAGAGAGAAAUUACGUCAGCCAGAUGAGGGAUUAAGUGAAGAAUUAAUGACACUGAGGUCCCGUGCGUUGGGUAAGCAUAACUAUUUCUUGGUGCGCUGUAAGAGAACGUGUCUGCAGUGGCUUGCUCGGCGGUACAGCACACAGAUGUACCCCAGCAGCAGUCAGCCGGGCAACAUGCUCGACGCUCCCGCCCCACGCCUCGCCUCAGCUCCCGGCCAGCCUGCAGCCCCCGCCCCGGUGAGGCCGCUGAGCUGGGCGCCGUACACCCCCUCCCUGGACCAAGAGAAGGCCGCCAAGGAGAAGGUGGGCGAAGAGGGGGACGGUUGUGCUCCUCUGAACACCCGGACAUGGUUUAUUCCUGACACACUCCCCUUGGAAAUUAUUAUACUCUCCCCGGAACAUUAAUUUUCCCCGUGGACGUUCCCUCAGCCCCUGGACAUACCCUUCCCUGGACAUUUCCCCGUGGACGUUCCCUCAGCCCCUGGACAUACCCUCCCCUGGACAUUUCCACGUGGACGUUCCCUCAGCCCCUGGACAUACCCUUCCCUGGACAUUUCCACGUGGACGUUCCCUCAGCCCCUGGACAUACCCUUCCCUGGACAUUUCCACGUGGACGUUCCCUCAGCCCCUGGACAUACCCUUCCCUGGACAUUUCCACGUGGACGUUCCCUCGGCCCCCUGGACAUACCCUCCCCUGGACAUUUCCACGUGGACGUUCCCUCAGCCCCUGGACAUACCCUCCCCUGGACAUUUCCCCGUGGACGUUCCCUCGGCCCCCUGGACAUACCCUCCCCUGGACAUUUCCCCGUGGACGUUCCCUCGGCCCCCUGGACAUACCCUCCCCUGGACAUUUCCCCGUGGACGUUCCCUCGGCCCCCUGGACAUACCCUCCCCUGGACAUUCCCUCAGCCCCCUGGACAUAAUUUCCCCUGGACAUUCUCACUCCAUGACCAUAGCAUUUUACCUUUAACUUCUCUAUCACUUUUUUUUUUUACGUCAUGGCCUAUUGCGCCGGUAGGCUUCUUCCCGGUGGAUCCUGAUGGUCGGCCCAUGGCUUCUUCCCGGUGGGGCCUGAUGGUCGGCCCAGCCCGUUCUGGCGCAGGCGAGUGUUUAUAGUGGCGCCAUCUUGCAUUGGCUCAUGCUGCCCUCCCGGAGCUCAUCUUUAAUCCAAGAAUCUAGAGUCCGGGUUGAUAGGUGGUCUUCUGGACAUCAUGUGGGUAGUUUUAAGCCACUCGGCGGCGGCUGAAAAAUCCCAGCUUGGUGGCACCGGGCGGGGAUUGAACUCGCGUCGUCCUGAACGCGGCGCCGUCAUGCUAUCCAUUCAGCCACCGUCUUACGCCAGUGGUUCCCAAAGCCGUGGCCGCGACCCAAAUGAGGGUCGUGAGAGUGUUCCUGAGGGUUGCUGGAGGCUCUUGGAAAAAAAACAUAAUAGUUAUUAUCUCAAACUGUAAAGGACGAUUUUUAAAAUGACAGUUAAGUCAAAUUUACAUUUUUCAGUAAUGUCGUUGUAUUAGUUCAGUAGGACAGCAUGAAGAUUCUCAUUAACACACACUAACAAAAGUAGCGUUGUACUAAAGCGCCCAUCCAGUGCGGCACGUCACACCAGCAGCAUAUUCACGUAUAUAACACGUGUCCACACACACCCAGUGCAGCACGUCACACCAGCAGCAUAUUCACGUAUAUAACACGUGUCCACACACACCCAGUGCGGCACGUCACACCAGCAGCAUAUUCACGUAUAUAACACGUGUCCACACACACCCAGUGCAGCACGUCACACCAGCAGCAUAUUCACGUAUAUAGCACGUGUCCACACACACCCAGUGCGGCACGUCACACCAGCAGCAUAUUCACGUAUAUAACACGUGUCCACACACACCCAGUGCGGCACGUCACACCAGCAGCAUAUUCACGUAUAUAACACGUGUCCACACACACCCAGUGCGGCACGUCACACCAGCAGCAUAUUCAUGUACAGAACACGUGUCCACACACACCCAGUGCGGCACGUCACACCAGCAGCAUAUUCAUGUACAGAACACGUGUCCACACACACCCAGUGCAGCACGUCACACCAGCAGCAUAUUCACGUAUAUAACACGUGUCCACACACACCCAGUGCGGCACGUCACACCAGCAGCAUAUUCACGUAUAUAACACGUGUCCACACACACCCAGUGCGGCACGUCACACCAGCAGCAUAUUCACGUACAGAACACGUGUCCACACACACCCAGUGCGGCACGUCACACCAGCAGCAUAUUCACGUACAGAACACGUGUCCGCCGGGAUAGCAGCGAGGAGGCGGAGGACAAAUUCAUAAAUAUCUGGAAGUAUAACACAUGAUUAUAAUUGGAAACAAGUUCAGAUCAAGACUGUGUUAAGGGUCGCCAGGCCAGGCCAAGACUGUGUUAAGGGUCGCCAGGCCAGGCCAAGACUGUGUUAAGGGUCGCAGCCAGCCAGGAGGGUAUUAAAAAUAGCGUGGCGCGGCACGCCCCUGCAAUACUUAUCGCUGCCACAGUUCAGGGUCCAUAUAUUCAUAAAUGUAUCUGGCUCCCAUUACGACAAUUUCCCAAGGCCACGGAGAAGAUUAAUAGAAUAUUCAUGGAUUUAUUUCCCGGUCACGGUGCAGAAGUCGGGCAUAUUUUCUUUUUUCUAGGCUCACGUAACUGUCCAUGGAAAUCCCAGAAACUUCUACGAGAGGCUUUUCAAGCCUGAGGCGCCGAUACGUUAAGAUUACUACGGCCUGGAGUGCCAGGUGGCGGUGCUCGACCCUCUGUGUGUGUGUGUUGGCGAGGGAAGUGUUCUGCUGGUGUGUGGGCGGCUGUGCUUCCCCGCCCGCCCCAGCCAGCACACGCCCAUGGGACCGGUUCCUUAUCCAAGAAUUAGAAAAAGCACACAGUGAAGGCCGCCGGUACACAAGGCAGACAGAAAGAUAAGCAGGCAGGCAUUGUGGCAGGCAUACAGGUAGCUAGGCGGAUUCGAACGCUGGUCCCCGACUGUGUGACCUCGAGAAGGAUGGAGUCCAGGACGCCGCGCUGAGGCCCACGCUGCUGCAGGUGGCGACCAUCCUGCUGUCGUCGCUGGCCACGCUGCAGUUCGGCAUAAGCUACUCCUGGCCCAACUCCCUCGCCGGCGACCUCCGCACCGACAACUCCACGCUCCUCGGCCACCAGAUCUCCGUCACCUCCGUCGGCCACGACCUCGUCGGUGAGUCCCUGCGGCCUCGCGCCCACUAACACUCGAUGGCACUAACCUCCCGCAGCAUGCAUGGCCUUCGAAGGGCACUGUUCGACGGCUCUCCCUGGCACGCCCUGCCAGCCCGGCCACUCUUCGCAGACGCCCCCAGUCAGGUGUUGGCGGCGGAUUUGGCACGUUUUUUUCCAGUUUCCUCGCUCCGUGGCGUCACCUU